ensembl:lncRNA
GUGAUCUCUGCUGGCAUGCAGGAGUUUCAGUGUUGUGCUAAAACAGCAUUUACAGUAUUUGUCUGCUGUGUUAGCAAACAGGGCUGAAGGCAAUUUAUUGGAAAAGAGUUCAGUGCAAAUAGCAGUCUCUUGAUAAUCGCUACUGGUUUCGUAGGCCUGAAGCUCCUUAUGACUCUGUGAGGAGGAUUUGCUUUGCCAGCUUGCUCCUGCGGACAAUUAGCAAGAAACAUUUGUUUCUAUCAAGAAUUUAAUGCUGCCGAAGCGUAGUGAAUAAAUCCAUAUGUUUGGGUGGGUCUAUGACUUCAAAAUAGAUGCAGUGCUCCUGUUUAACCCUCUCCCUUUCUUCUCUCUUGUAGCUGAAAGACUACAGAUGGUCCUCUCUUUAUUUGUGUGUUAAAAGUUGUAUAAAGCUCCCCUAAGUAUUUUCUGCCUUUUAAUUCUCAAGAACAUUGAGAUGGAGAAAAUCUGCUCUGUGGAUCAAAAGAAUGGAGCCCAAUUAGCACAGCUCUCAGCGUUGAUCCGAACUAAGUAUCAUACAUCUCAUAAAUGGACCAUCUUGAUCUACUGUCACCUGGCAGCUGUUGCUGGCUGAGGGCUCUGGAGAAGCCGUGACAUUGUAACUGCAAGCAAGCAGGAAGGGUCAGGGAGCAGAGGGGAAGUGCCCUAGCAGCAGCUCCAGUCCCUGUCCUGUACCAAGCCUUUGGCUCCUCAGAAGUGACUCACAACUCUCCUGUGCUGUAUCAAAGUGUUCUACAGGGAACUGAAUGCUGUGCC